UAAUGCUACCCCACCCCCACCAGACUGUGGAAUGUUAGCUUUGAAAGGAAUACAGAGAACAUCCAAUCCAAACCCUGCAGUGAGAAAACUGAGCUUGGGGGAGCUUCAGGAAUCUGGAGAUUUGGCUAAAGUGACAAAACUAAUGGACUUCCACUCAUGAUGGAAAAGAUGGCCACCUGUCCCACCCUCUCACUCACCCACAUACCUUCAUACGCCUGUGGCAUCUGACUCCAGAGGCAACAUAGUUCCUUCUUAGGCUGCCAAUCAAGCUAUCCCAGGGAAGGACUCCCAGGACCCAAGAAAGAUGUUGGGAAAUCUUGCAGGGCAGACAAAUAACAAUGCUGUUUCCUGCUACCAGUUGAACCAACAUGGCUCUCUGAGACAGCCUGAGACAAGAGUUUGUCGAGUGAGGGCUAAUGUAUAUGAUGAUCAUUUUGAUGAUGAGUGUGAUGUUAAUGAUGAUGACGAUGGUUUCACAAUCAUCCAGGAGCAUUUGCAUCUAGACAGCCUCUAUACUAAGUACAGUCUGCUCUGCUCCAGCGUCUAGGACUUCUGAUGCUGUUAACAAGAUUCGGCCAACUGCACACCCACAUAAUAUGCAUUGUUCCCAUACCAUUUGGGUGCCAUUACUGUGGCAUACGAGUGUUCCAGUGAUCCCACCUGCUCCUGGUGAAAUUCUUCAUGAUUAGGAUGCUGCUGCAAGCCAGGGACUGCUGUCCUCCCACUUAACACCAGAGGCCCUUGACUGGUGAAAGAUCCCCUCUGAAUGGGAGUUCUGGUUCCAACUGUCUUUGCCUGGGUUUCCCUAAAAAGUCCAGCCCAGGAAGAGAGUUUGCUCACAGGUAGUUUAUUUUGGAAAAUGAUCCCAAGGAGCAGGAAUAAGACUGGGAAGAGUAAAACAGGGAAGGAGGAAAAACAAUCUGCAGGUCACAUCCCCUGGGACACAGACUUUGAAACAGAUUUGUGUACAGGAAGUUCACUGGGGAGUGUCUUUGGGAUCAGCACCAAUGGAGACCCAAGGAAGUAGAAGAGCUGAGCUGGGAUGUAUAAAAGCGAGGCUGCAGACACAGGAGUGCUGUGCAGAGCCUGCCUUGUCCCACUUUGAUGCAAAGAGACAGACAGAGACAGAGAGACAGAAACAUUGGCAGAAGGAGAAGCACGCUCCCUGCAGGGAGCCUGAUGCAGGACUCGAUUCCAGAACUCCAUGAUCACGACCUGGGCUGAAGGUAGACACUCAACCACUGAGCCACCCAGGUGCCCCUCCUAUAAACUUUAAAUAUCACUCAUCUGUAAAGAUGAGACUUUAAGUCUGUCCAAGUGUUGAAACUGACCCUUUAAAAGCUUAUUUUCCAACAAAGUUGGGGAUAGUCUAGCCUUUCUAAAACAUUCUUCUCUGAAUGAGUGCCACUGUUUUCACACCUGUGCACCUUUGCAAAUUCACUCUUUUGCCAGAAUGUCUUUUCUUACCCUUUGUCAUCCUCCAGAAUUCUUUAAAACCUUCAUCAAGUAUUCAUAUGUUCAUAGGAUUGCCAGAUUUCAUAAAUAGAAAUACAGGACACAUAAAUAAAUUUAAAAUUCCAAUCAACAAGAAAUAAUUUUUUAGUAUAAGUAUGUCCAAAUAGUCCAUGAGAUGUACUGAUACUAAACAAUUAAUAUGUCAUUUGUUUGAAGUUCAAAAGUAACUGGACAUCCAAUAUUUUAUCUAGCAAACCUGUUCAUCCUCCAAGUAUUUGUGGAAUAUCUACCACAUGUCAGAAAGGAUUCUAAGCAUCAGGAAUAUAGCAGGAGCCAGGGAAGAAACAAGGAGAUCAACAAGGAGGCCAAUAAGACAACCCAGGAGAGGGGGGGAUGAAAGGAUUAGGACUCUAGUCAUCGUGGUAGAGAUGUUUCAGAGAUUAGGAGUCUUACUGGUCUUUGGUCAGGAGGUCCCAGGGCUGGUUCUUUCUGGAAGCUCAAGGGCAGAACCCAACCUGCUUCUCUCACAUCUCGGUCGGACUCGGACCCUCCUUCCUCUCUCCUGUGAGGACUCUGAGACUACAUUGGACCCAUCCAGAUAAUCCCUCCUCUCUCAAGAUCUUUAACUGAAUCCCAUUUGCAAAAGUACCUUUUGCCUAGGAGCUUGGAUAGCUCAGUGGUUGAGUGUCUGCCUUUGGCUCAGGUUGUGAUCCCGUGGUCCUGGGAUCGAGUCCCACAUCAGGUUCUCUGUGGGAAGCCUGCUUCUUCCUCUGCCUAU